rnacentral:rRNA from 1 species
GAUGAACGCUGGCGGCGUGCCUAAUACAUGCAAGUCGAGCGAACAGAUAAGGAGCUUGCUCCUUUGACGUUAGCGGCGGACGGGUGAGUAACACGUGGGUAACCUACCUAUAAGACUGGAAUAACUCCGGGAAACCGGGGCUAAUGCCGGAUAACAUGUUGAACCGCAUGGUUCUACAGUGAAAGGCGGCUUUGCUGUCACUUAUAGAUGGACCCGCGCCGUAUUAGCUAGUUGGUGAGGUAACGGCUCACCAAGGCAACGAUACGUAGCCGACCUGAGAGGGUGAUCGGCCACACUGGAACUGAGACACGGUCCAGACUCCUACGGGAGGCGGCAGUAGGGAAUCUUCCGCAAUGGGCGAAAGCCUGACGGAGCAACGCCGCGUGAGUGAUGAAGGUCUUCGGAUCGUAAAACUCUGUUAUUAGGGAAGAACAAAUGCGUAAGUAACUGUGCGCGUCUUGACGGUACCUAAUCAGAAAGCCACGGCUAACUACGUG